rnacentral:rRNA from 1 species
GAUGAACGCUGGCGGCGUGCCUAAUACAUGCAAGUCGAGCGAACAGAUGAGGAGCUUGCUCCUCUGACGUUAGCGGCGGACGGGUGAGUAACACGUGGAUAACCUACCUAUAAGACUGGGAUAACUUCGGGAAACCGGAGCUAAUACCGGAUAAUAUAUUGAACCGCAUGGUUCAAUAGUGAAAGACGGUUUUGCUGUCACUUAUAGAUGGAUCCGCGCCGCAUUAGCUAGUUGGUAAGGUAACGGCUUACCAAGGCAACGAUUCGUAGCCGACCUGAGAGGGUGAUCGGCCACACUGGAACUGAGACACGGUCCAGACUCCUACGGGAGGCAGCAGUAGGGAAUCUUCCGCAAUGGGCGAAAGCCUGACGGAGCAACGCCGCGUGAGUGAUGAAGGUCUUCGGAUCGUAAAACUCUGUUAUUAGGGAAGAACAAAUGUGUAAGUAACUAUGCACGUCUUGACGGUACCUAAUCAGAAAGCCACGGCUAACUACGUG